ACCUGGUGGGUGGCUCUUGAUCAGUCUUUUGUGCUCAAUUUAUUAUCUUGUUAAGUAUAUUAGGAAAUCAUGAUAUCAUGUUAUUCGUGAAAUAAUUGUCAUUAUCACAAAAGUCAAAUUAUGUGACUUAUAUUCUUGUACUAGCCUCGAGCUUAACUCAAGGUUUCAUAAUUCUUGUAAGACGUUCCCUCAUCUCACUAACUAUUAUUCCA
rnacentral:lncRNA from 1 species